rnacentral:lncRNA from 10 species
GGUUACUUGAACCCGGCUGGGUGGUCAGUGAAGGUGGGAGUGAGUGGAUCAGCCCCAUUCAUUAGGGCCCUCACUGGGAUCAGAGCUUGGUUCCCCUCAGGGAGUGUCUGAGACUCCUCCCUGUGUGAUCCCUGCGGGGUGUGUGUGUGUGUGGCCAUAGGGCGGUUGUGGCCUGAGCACUUUUGCCAGCACCGCAGCAUACAGACAACCUCUUGCUAUGUUGCCCAGGCUGUAGUCAAACUCCUCGCUUCAAGCAAUCCUCCUGCUUUGGCCUCCCAAGUCCCAACCAUGUUAGCCAGGCUGGUAUCGAACUCCUGGCCUGAAGUGAUCUGGCCACCUCAGCUUCCCAAAGUGCCAGGACUAUAGGUGUGAGCCACCACACCCAGCCUCCAUUAUAAUCCUAUAGGACCACCAUGGAAUAUAUGGUCCCACACUGUCCAAAACAUCAUCAUGCAGCCCAUGAAAUUAAACUGUUUCAAGGAGAAAAGCAAAGAACACAAAUGAAAGAUGGGUGAGGAGGAAUCAAUUGUGUGAACACUCAAGAGAUGAAGACGCUGAGGUCCCAGUAGACCACCGGCUGUCAGCAGCGGAAUAUGAUAGCAGAUUUGUUAAGGUAAGCACCACAAAACAGUGCUGCAUCCCAGGUGUAGAAUGGGCUGAGAACAUCUGACACUUUGCCUCCUCUUUUUUGAUGUCAUAAUCACUGUUGUAUUAUUCUCCACAAGCAUCCAGGAGGGAGAUUAGUUUGGGCCCCUAUCCUCUUAGUUUUAUUAGCUCUGUAGAAAGUAUGGCUGGCCAGGUGCAGUGGCUUAUGCCUGUAAUCCUGGCAUUUUGGGAGGCCAAGGUGGGCGGAUCGCUUGAGGCCAGGUGUUCCAUACCAGCCUGGUUAACAUGUGUAAUCCUGUCUCUACCAAAAAUACAAAAAUUAGCCAGGCAUAGUGGUGCAUGCCUGUAAUCCCAGCUACUCUGGAGGCUGAGGCAGGAGAAUCACUUGAACUUGGGAGGUGGAGGUUGCAAUGAGCCGAGAUCGUGCCACUGCACUCCAGCCUGGGCGGAAG